AGCGAACGCUGGCGGCAGGCCUAACACAUGCAAGUCGAGCGGCCGUAGCAAUACGGCAGCGGCAGACGGGAGAGUAACACGUGGGAACGCGCCCUUUGGUUCGGAAUAACUCAGGGAAACUUGAGCUAAUACCGGAUAAGCCCUUACGGGGAAAGAUUUAUCGCCAAAGGAACGGCCCGCGUCCGAUUAGCUAGUUGGUGAGGUAACGGCUCACCAAGGCGACGGUCGGUAGCUGGUCUGAGAGGAUGACCAGCCUCACUGGGACUGAGACACGGCCCAGACUCCUACGGGAGGCAGCAGUGGGGAAUAUUGGACAAUGGGCGCAAGCCUGAUCCAGCCAUGCCGCGUGAGUGAUGAAGGCCUUAGGGUUGUAAAGCUCUUUUAGCAGGGAAGAUAAUGACGGUACCUGCAGAAAAAGCCCCGGCUAACUUCGUGCCAGCCGCCGCUGUAACAC
rnacentral:rRNA from 1 species